AUGUCGAUUUGGAGGUUGUGCCCUUGAGGCGUGGCUUCCGGAGCUAACGCGUUAAAUCGACCGCCUGGGGAGUACGGCCGCAAGGUUAAAACUCAAAUGAAUUGACGGGGGCCCGCACAAGCGGUGGAGCAUGUGGUUUAAUUCGAUGCAACGCGAAGAACCUUACCUACUCUUGACAUCCAGAGAACUUUCCAGAGAUGGAUUGGUGCCUUCGGGAACUCUGAGACAGGUGCUGCAUGGCUGUCGUCAGCUCGUGUUGUGAAAUGUUGGGUUAAGUCCCGCAACGAGCGCAACCCUUAUCCUUUGUUGCCAGCGAUUCGGUCGGGAACUCAAAGGAGACUGCCGGUGAUAAACCGGAGGAAGGUGGGGAUGACGUCAAGUCAUCAUGGCCCUUACGAGUAGGGCUACACACGUGCUACAAUGGCGUAUACAAAGAGAAGCAAGCUCGCGAGAGCAAGCGGACCUCAUAAAGUACGUCGUAGUCCGGAUUGGAGUCUGCAACUCGACUCCAUGAAGUCGGAAUCGCUAGUAAUCGUAGAUCAGAAUGCUACGGUGAAUACGUUCCCGGGCCU
rnacentral:rRNA from 1 species